AGUGAACGCUGGCGGCAGGCCUAACACAUGCAAGUCGAGCGGCCGCACAGUAAGAGUUUGCUCUUACGGGUGGCGAGUGACGGACGGGUGACGAAUGCAUCGGAAUCUACUUUUUCGUGGGGGACAACGUAGGGAAGCUUACGCUAAUACCGAAUACGACCUACCGGAGAAAGCAGGGGAGCUUCACACCUUUCGCGAUUGAAUGAGCCGAUGUCGGAUUAGCUAGUUGGCGGGGUAAAGGCUCACCAAGGCGACGAUCCGUAGCCGAACUGAGAGGGUGAUCGGCCACACUGGAACUGAGACACGGUCCAGACUCCUACGGGAGGCAGCAGUGGGGAAUCUUCGGCAAUGGGCGCAAGCCUGAUGCAGCCAUGCCGCGUGGGUGAAGAAGGCCUUCGGGUCGUAAAGCCCUUUUGUUGGGGAAGAACAGCAGCAGCUUAAACCCCCGCUGUUCUGACGGUACCCAAAGAAUAAGCACCGGCUAACUUCGUG
rnacentral:rRNA from 1 species